UGCAGUCGAGCGGAACGAGAAGUAGCUUGCUACUUCGGCGUCGAGCGGCGGACGGGUGAGUAAUGCAUAGGAAGUUGCCCAGUAGAGGGGGAUAACCAUUGGAAACGAUGGCUAAUACCGCAUAACCUCUUCGGAGCAAAGCGGGGGACCUUCGGGCCUCGCGCUACUGGAUACGCCUAUGUGGGAUUAGCUAGUUGGUGAGGUAAUGGCUCACCAAGGCGACGAUCCCUAGCUGGUCUGAGAGGAUGAUCAGCCACACUGGGACUGAGACACGGCCCAGACUCCUACGGGAGGCAGCAGUGGGGAAUAUUGCACAAUGGGCGAAAGCCUGAUGCAGCCAUGCCGCGUGUAUGAAGAAGGCCUUCGGGUUGUAAAGUACUUUCAGUUGUGAGGAAGGUUUCGUAGUGAAUANCUGCGUUGCUUGACGUUAGCAACAGAAGAAGCACCGGCUAACUCCGUGCCAGCAGCCGCGGUAAUACGGAGGGUGCGAGCGUUAAUCGGAAUUACUGGGCGUAAAGCGCAUGCAGGUGGUUUGUUAAGUCAGAUGUGAAAGCCCGGGGCUCAACCUCGGAAGGUCAUUUGAAACUGGCAAACUAGAGUACUGUAGAGGGGGGUAGAAUUUCAGGUGUAGCGGUGAAAUGCGUAGAGAUCUGAAGGAAUACCAGUGGCGAAGGCGGCCCCCUGGACAGAUACUGACACUCAGAUGCGAAAGCGUGGGGAGCAAACAGGAUUAGAUACCCUGGUAGUCCACGCCGUAAACGAUGUCUACUUGGAGGUUGUGGCCUUGAGCCGUGGCUUUCGGAGCUAACGCGUUAAGUAGACCGCCUGGGGAGUACGGUCGCAAGAUUAAAACUCAAAUGAAUUGACGGGGGCCCGCACAAGCGGUGGAGCAUGUGGUUUAAUUCGAUGCAACGCGAAGAACCUUACCUACUCUUGACAUCCAGAGAACUUUCCAGAGAUGGAUUGGUGCCUUCGGGAACUCUGAGACAGUGCUGCAUGGCUGUCGUCAGCUCGUGUUGUGAAAUGUUGGGUUAAGUCCCGCAACGAGCGCACCCAUAUC
rnacentral:rRNA from 1 species